UACGAAGGGUGCAAACGUUGCUCGGAAUUAUUGGGCGUAAAGCGCACGUAGGCGGCUUUGCAAGUCGGAUGUGAAAUCCCUCGGCUUAACCAAGGAAGUGCAUCCGAAACUGCAGAGCUUGAGUACUUAAGAGGAUCGCGGAAUUCCCGGUGUAGAGGUGAAAUUCGUAGAUAUCGGGAGGAACACCAGUGGCGAAGGCGGACGAUCUGGGAAGAUACUGACGCUGAGGUGCGAAAGCGUGGGGAGCGAACGAGG
rnacentral:rRNA from 1 species